AUGGAGGGCCUUGUCAGCUGCCAAGACCAGUUCGGUCACAGACACCCCAACCCAGGCGGCACUGAAGGAAUUAAGAAACAGACACAAAGAGCAAAAGGUGGGGCAUCGGGGGCUUCAGCCUUCCCAGCUGAGAGCCUUGAACAGAGUUUGACCCACAUAUUUAUUGACAGCAAGCAAGUGAUAAUCAUCAUUACUGCAGUUUAUAGAUUAACUAAAAUCAUUCUUCACAGGAACAAAGCAUUCUUUCCUAGUGGCGAUAAACAGGCUCUGAUGCAUAUGUCUACUGCAACUGGAACACAUUUUCAGGGCACCAGUUCUGGAAUGCCUUUAACUGGUCUUCCACCCAGGAAGGGUCAGAAAAGAGCAAGCAGAUAUGACUCGCUAGCUCUCCCCGUGACACACGCUCACACCGGGCUCGAGGUGGCGGCGGCGGCAGCGGCUGGCACUCCGACUCCUGGGUUGAGGAUGCGUUCUCCGUGGGGGCGGCGGAACUGCCGGCGGGGACCUCUGGGAAGGCGGGGACGAGGAUGAGAACGUCAAAGCUAACUGGGAUGACGAUGAUGAUUAAAAAAAAAAAAAAAAAAAGAAGGAAGGAAAACAAAAGGUAAAAAUUUCGGAAAAGAAAAAAAUAGCAGAGAAGAUAAAAGAUAAAAGAGAAAGAACAGCAACAGAAGAAAAGGCAAGAAGAAAUUAAAAAGAAGUUACAAGAACCUGAAGUGCCAACACAAGAAGAACAAUUAGCAGAUAAACUGCGGCUAAAGAAAUUACAGGAAGAGUCCGACCUCGAAUUAGCAAAGGUGUUAAUAAUAGUUUAUGGAGUAGAUGCUAUGAACCCAUCUUCAAGAGAUGAUUUUACAGAGUUUGGAACAUUACUAAGAGAUAAAAUUACACAAUAUGAAAAGUCACUAUAUUAUGCCAGUUUUUUGGAAGUCUUAGUUCGAGAUGUGUGUAUUUCAUUGGAAACUGAUGAUUUGAAAAAGAUUACCAAUUCACUGACUGUGCUUUGCAGUGAAAAACAGAAGCAAGCAAAGCAAAGCCAAUAAGAAGAAAGGUGUGGUUUCUGGAGGGGGGUUAAAAGCCACCAUGAAAGAUGAUCUGGCAGAUUAUGGUGGUUACAAUGGAGGAUAUGUACAAGACUAUGAAGACUUCAUGUGACAUUUUUAUCUUCUCCUGGUGUCAUCUUUAUGUUGCCCACAAUCCCUUGAACAUGUAGCACAACAUCCUUUCUUUUCAGUUCUGCCAAAUGCUACAAUCAGAAGUGCAGUAUCUUUUGUGCUUAUUAUUUAACCCCUUGACACUUUGGUGCUAAUGUGCAAAUAAGGGAACUUGGAUCUUGCUGCCAAGGGGUUAAAAUUGGGAACCUCAGUUGCUACUAAAUCAUAGUUCAAAACAAACCUCAUAAUGUUGUCAUUGUUGCUAUCUGAUUUCAUAGCAGCAGUCACUAAAUUGGAAAAAUGUUGCAACAUGACAGAAAAAAAAAUGUGUAGUAUUUACCAGCACCAUUCAGUAAUACAGCCUUAACCAUACCUCCUUGAACUACUUCAUAACUUGUCAAGAAAGGCAGUUUGCAGCAAGGGCAUGUGGUGUGCACCUAGUAGUAAAAUUGCUUUGUCUUAAAAUUGAACAUAAGGAUAUUAAAAAUACAUUGUGAAGAAGACUGCUUAUCUCUGAGUGAAGAUACUGCGGCUGAAAAGCAUUAGUUUGAUAUAAAAUUUAAAUGACCAAAACCCUCCAACUUUGAAGCUAAAAAAGGUAAACCUCUCCAUUAUUGCAUUACAUGUUGUGGAAUCUCUUGAGUGCAAAGACUGUCUAAUUAUUUAUCAGGCUAUUUCUACUGAUGAAGUGCUUCAGAUGGGAGAGGGAAACUCUUUACCUGUUUUUAUUUGCCUGAUUUAAAUGUCUGAGAAACAAAUCUUCGUUCUCUUAGGCUGCAAUGGAACAACUUUACCAGGGUUUUGGCAUUUCCUUUCCUUUAUAAAACAUGCUUAGCAAACUGUACCAGUUAACUACAGUUUGGUAAAUUGUUAACAAUUAUGACAUCUGCAGUGUUUUAUAAAGCAGCUAAUUUAAUAAAAUCACUAUUGUGAGG